GGGAAGAUGGCUCAGUGAUAGAGUGCUUGCCUUGCAUGCAUGAGGCCCUGGGUUCUAUUCCUCAGCCCC
rnacentral:tRNA from 1 species